AGGCCACUGCUAUCAGAGUUCGAUUAAGCCAUGCGAGUCGAGAGGUGUAAGACCUCGGCAUACUGCUCAGUAACACGUGGACAACCUACCCUAAGGAGGGGGAUAACCCCGGGAAACUGGGGAUAAUACCCCAUAGACUAUGGAUGCUGGAAUGCUUCGUAGUUCAAAGGUCCGCCGCCUUAGGAUGGGUCUGCGGCCGAUUAGGUUGUUGUUGGGGUAACGGCCCAACAAGCCUGUAAUCGGUACGGGUUGUGGGAGCAAGAGCCCGGAGAUGGAUUCUGAGACACGAAUCCAGGCCCUACGGGGCGCAGCAGGCGCGAAAACUUUACAAUGCGAGAAAUCGUGAUAAGGGAACUCUGAGUGCCCGUAAAAUCGGGCUGUCCAUCUGUUUAAAUAACAGGUGAAGAAAGGGCCGGGCAAGACCGGUGCCAGCCGCCGCGGUAAUACCGGCGGCUCGAGUGGUGGCCACUAUUACUGGGCUUAAAGCGUCCGUAGCUGGUCUGUUAAGUCUCUGGGGAAAUCUUCCGGCUCAACCGGAAGGCGUCUCAGGGAUACUGGCAGACUAGGGACCGGGAGAGGUGAGAGGUACUCCAGGGGUAGGAGUGAAAUCCUGUAAUCCUUGGGGGACCACCUGUGGCGAAGGCGUCUCACCAGAACGGCUCCGACAGUGAGGGACGAAAGCUGGGGGAGCAAACCGGAUUAGAUACCCGGGUAGUCCCAGCCGUAAACGAUGCGCGCUAGGUGUAUCGGUGACCACGAGUCACCGAGGUGCCGAAGAGAAAUCGUGAAACGCGCCGCCUGGGAAGUACGGUCGCAAGGCUGAAACUUAA
rnacentral:rRNA from 1 species